rnacentral:lncRNA from 10 species
AGAAGACAUAAAAAACAGAAGACAAUUUGUAACAAUGAAUUUAAUGCUUCCAAUAUUAAGCUACAGUAUAAAUUCCUGCAUUAAUCUAAAACCAUCUAAAAAUUAAUGCAACUAUGAAGAUAGCUAUGACAACGUCCUAUACUAACUCAUGCCUGACCAGAAGUUAUCCAAACAUGUAAUGAAGCAGUUUUUUCUGUCCAUUUAUAACUCAAUAAUUUACUUUUUCAUUUAGAGUACACUUAUGUCUGUUGAGUUCAGCUACCUUUUAGCCAACAAGUUUACCCUCCUUUUUCACCAUGGCUACAUAUAGAAAUACUACCUGCCUCCAGACCCAGCAAAGAUGGAAAGAAGGAUGAGGGAUGCAGCAAGAAAAUACUCUAUGAGAGCACACAAAAAGAGGCGCCUUGCUUUAAAAUGUGCUUGAGUUUGUCGCGGCGGGCGGGUGAGGAUCUCCAGUUACUGCGCUGCAAUGAGCUCCCAGAAGACAGACGGGCGCACUGGCCGCUGCGUGCCACCACUCAGCACUUCUCUCGCCUUCUGAGGCCUUCUUCCCCCCAGUAGCAGGUCCUCGUGCCUUUUAGGUUCCUUCUUUGAUAUGCUAGCACAACGGAAAGCAGUGGGAGGCAAUGCUGCACCUUGCCCCGUACUGGGAACUCCCUAGAGAACGCGGUGUUUGGUUGCAGGCCUUUCCAAACUGAUUCUCUAGCAUUCCUUUAAAAUCAUCUGCUAGCAGAAAUUUGUCUGACCAUUGGGUGUUUCAAUAAUUGCUCUAGCUGACCUGGGAACUGGGGAAUCUGGUAAAGAGACACAGCGUGACAACACAGCGUUUGCUGAUUAUUUCACGCUAAUUUGGACCAUAAAUUCCUCGAAUGGAUCCAGUCGGCCAACACAUGAUUUUUAGCACAGGCUGAGAUUCUUCAAAGGGCUUCCAUAUAUCACAAUGUAUUGCUAUUAAGAAAGGAUCAAAACAGCAGGUACAUCUCUAUGGGAAUUUAGUAAAUACGUAAAUUAUUAUUUAAAUCACUGUAGCUGGCUGUAGGAGGAAAAAAAUCAGUUUGUAUCUUAUAGAUACAAUGUAAGCCUCACUUUCAUUUCUGGUUUUUUAUUUUUAUUUUUUCUGAAUGGUCGGGUCGCUUUUCUUGAUGUUUUAGCACGCCUUUCUCAGGAGAGUUACAUUAAAGAGACUCUGUCCACCAAAAUUUCCAUUUGGCAUGAGUACCCUAGAGAAAGGAUCAAUGUCUUUUGGUGAAGAAGGGAGUGCUUUAAACUAUUAGCACUUAGAAAUACAUCCGCUUAUCUUAACCAUUCAUCAUUAAAAUGGUUGAAAAAAACAAAGUACCUUUUGCCUUAAUAUUUUCUUCAUCAGUGCUCCUAUGAUAUGUUACUAUUACCAUGAUUAUUUCCUGAAGAAUGUGGUUUUCUUUUUUUUUUUUUUUUUUGAGACAGAGUCUCGCUCUGUCUCCCAGGUUGGAGUGCAGUGGCACCAUCUCGGCUCACUGCAAGCUCUGCCUCCCAGGUUCACGCCAUUCUCCUGCCUUAGCCUCCCGAGUAGCUGGGACUACAGGUGCCCGCCACCACGCCCGGAUAAUUUGUUUGUAUUUUUAGUAGAGAAGGGGUUUCACCGUGUUAGCCAGGAUGGUCUCAAUCUCCUGACCUCGUGAUCCGCCCACCUCCGCCUCCCAAAGUGCUGGGAUUACAGGCAUGAGCCACUGCGCCCGGCCAAGAAUGUGGUUUUCAACAAGUUUUUGGCCUUCUCCUUUUUCUCACCCUACAGUGUCCUUUUGGUGUUAUAGAAGUGCUAUCACCUAUUCCUCUUCCAAGAAAAAUGCCUUAAAAAAAUGGGAUUAUUUAUGCUUUCCCAUUAUUAAUUUAGAGGACAAGAUAGAAACAUUCCAGUAGCUACAGAGAAGGUCAGAAAUAGGUGAGGUGCAUUGGGGGUGAAUCUUAAGCCUCUUUAAAGAAGGCUUAAGAAAAUAUUGAAAGUAUGGGAAAUGGCAUAGGGAAGAGGAAAUUGGCAAGGGCAGGGACACCAAGGGUGGGCUGGGGUGAUGUGUUAGGAAAGAUGGGAGAGGUUCCAGAACUGGGAGGCCAGCCUUCGUUAUUAAGUAAAUAUGUAAGACUAACACUACAGUAUAAGAGACAAAAAGCUUCUUUGACUUUAGAUAUCUUUGGCUUUCAAAUGUAAUGUGUAUGUUUUAAGAUUCAGAAAGCUGAUUAAAAGGUAAAUAACCAUCAUUGAAUAUAAUGCUUUGUUUAAAAAAUGAACUCUUGUUUUACCAAUAUAGCUGAUCAACAUAAACAGCGAAACUGGUAAUUGGUAAAUGCUGUGAAAGUCAGAAAUACUCAUAUAUUGACAAAGAAUAUUGGAAAAGGAAAAUAUAAUCUGAAGCUAUUUCGUUAGCAUAUUUUCAAAAAGCAUUCAACAAUACCAGGUCUUCUGACAAGCUCAAUCAAAAUAUUCCCAUCAGAGUAGUGAUUUCUUGUAAGUCCUGCUAUUGAAGGCAGUAUUCUAGGGUCUUCUGCAGCCAUAAUUCACAGCACUGGUCCCCAGUCCCUGCAUAUCCUGAUGCUCGGAGAAUCAUGGUAUAGGAGAUUAUUCAUGAAGUGGUUAAAAGGAUAGCAAUAGCAAUAGCUAACACUUGUAUGAUAUUACUGUGGACCAGGAGGUUGUUCAAGCAUUUCAUGUAUAUUACUUCAUGCACUCCCAGACCCUGCCAACAACUCUAUUAGGUAUAUACUUUUAUCGUCCCCAUUUUCUGGAUAAGGAGAUGAGCCUCCAAUAGCUUAAGGGGCUUGCCCAUGUUCACACAAGUAGUUAAGUACCAAAGCUGGGAUUCAAACCCAGGAAUGCUGGCUGUAGAAUCCGUGGUCUUUCCCACUAUCCUAUGUUGCUUUUCAAAUUUGGCAUAACCUUUAAAUGUAGCAAUUUGUCUUUAGAAGCUAAAGAAUCAUGAAGAUGGUAUUUUUGGUCCCAUUGACUUGUCCACAAUGCUAUUUUUAUCAAAAUUAAAAUUAUAUAGUGCAUUGGCAAAUAUUUACUAAGCAUUAAUGAAAAGUCAUAUUGCUAAUGUUUUCUCUAAAAUAUAUGUUAAGUACUGUAUAAAAUGUAUGUAAGGUGAGUUAACCCAUACAACCAAUGUAUGAGCUAAAGUAAAUUAAGUGAUGUUUUAUUCAUUUUUGGGGUCAAUAUGCACUGCUGUAUAUUUUACCAAAAUUAUUAGGGGAAUGGAAAAGAAAAUAGAAAAGCAAAUUUAUCUUUAUACUAAUGUAACAUUAUGUUUUCCUCUUUCCUGUAAUCAAAUCUAAGGUUAUGUAUGAAGCAUUCACCAUACUUUAUAAUCAAUGUCUUUAUUGAUCCUCAAAACUAUUGUAAUAUAUAGCUUAUAGGAAAUUUACAUCACAGAAGGCUAUAAACACUGCAGCCCAGGUUUCUGGGAAGGUGAAUGGUCAUCUGGAAUAAGUAAUGUUGCUUGCCUCCGUGUUACUGUCACA